rnacentral:rRNA from 1 species
AUGGCCGGGCGGCCGCCGUUCACCAACAUGGACCGGGAUACGGCGGCAGCCUUGCGGCGCAGCGGCUUCAACCCGCGCAAACUGGACGGAGCCGCGGAGCAGCUGUGUACAUACAUCUACACCGAGCUCCUCCCCGCGCCGCCCGUCUCCGGAGCCCCCGUCCGCGGCCUCGUCAUCACCGACGCCGCGCACGACCCCGCCCUCCCCGCCGCCGACGGCGUAGACCGCCUCAGCGCCCUCCCCGACACCCUCCUGCGCCACAUCCUCUCCCGCCUCGCCGUCACGGACGCCGCGCGCACCGCCGCGCUCGCCUCGCGCUGGCGCAGGCUCUGGCUCUCCGCGGAGCCGGUCCUGGUGGACACAUUCCUCCGGCCCGACGACUACCUCUGGCCGCCCACCCCCGCCAACACGCCGGCCAUCACCGCCGCCGUCUCCGGCAUCCUCGAGGCGCACCUGGGGCCCUUCCGCUGCGUGCACCUCACCUGCAGCCACAUGGGCGCGCACCGGGCCCAGCUCGCGCGCUGGCUGCAGCUCCUCGCCGCCAAGGGCGUCCAGGAGCUGGUGCUCGUCAACCGGCCGUGGCCGUUCGACGUGCCCCUCCCGGACACGCUCUUCGGCAUCAGCACGCUCGUCCGCCUCUACAUCGGCCUCUGGAAGCUCCCGGACACAGCCGGCCUGCGCGGCGCCUCCUUCCCCCACCUCCGGGAGCUCGGCAUCUGCACCGUGGUGAUGGAGCAGGGGGACGUCGACUCCAUCGUCGCCCGCUGCCCCGUCCUGGAGAUCCUCAACAUCCAGGGAUGCCACAUGGGGCUCCGCCUACGCCUCGUCAGCCAGAGCCUACGCUGCGUGCAAGUCUGCAGCUCAGUUGUGGAGAGCAUCAUGGUGGUGAAGGCUCCAUGCCUCGAGCGGCUCGUCCUGGAGGGAUGCCGGCACACGGCUGCUGGCCUAUCUACCAGGGUCAGCAUUGCUGAUGCCCCAAAGCUUCAUUCGAUUGGAUCCUUGGAGCCAGGAAAUCAUGUGUUGGAGAUCGGAGGCACUAUCAUAAUGGCUGGGGUAAAGGUGAGCAGAAGCAGCAUUCUCACAAGCAUCAGGACCCUCAGCUUACAUGUACGUUUCGCGGUCCCCAGUGAGGCAAAUAUGGUUUCAACAUAUCUCCAAUUCUGCCCAAACGUCGUGCGACUGCAUAUCACGUCCAGAAAAUGUAGUCAGCACACUGGUAAUCUAAUGCUCAAUUGCAAGUUGGGUCCCACUGAUAGUGCCAUGUCGCGCAUCAAAGUAAUGUAUUUCCGUGAAUUCCGAGGGGAGCAAAGCGAGAUUGCCUUCCUCAAGCUCUUCUAUAAGAGCGCGAAGGUGUUGGAGGCUGCAGUGGUAAUCAUGGCGGACCCAUGCUUCACACCGUUUCGGGAAGAUGUAGCGUUUUCCAAAGUGUGGCAAGCUUCUGAAGUCAGUAGGUGCCAACUCAUCAGUGUUCAUCUGGGUACAGGUCCUGAAGGAGGCAAGGCGUGGAGUUUAAAAAAUGAGAGUUAUUUUCCAUCCGAGGAACUUCUCCCAGUGAAGAUCAUCAGCCUAGGGCAGUAG